CCUACUGAACGCCAGUCAGCCAUUCGCUGGGAGCUGCCAUCAAAUCCUAACCCAAUCCAAGAGCACUCUCAGAACCAUGGGAGGAGAGGAAAGCCAAGCUGUCACCAUCAUGAGGAAUAUUUUUGGGAAUCUGCUAAGGAGUCUUAUAGGGAAUAUUGGGUUUAAUGUGGAGACAGUGGAUUACAAGAGCAUCCGCUUCAUUUUAUGAGACGUGGACGGCCAGGACAAGAUCCGCCCACUCUGGAGACGCUACUUCCAGAACACACAGGGUCUGAUCUUGGUGGUGGACAGUAAUGACAGGGAGCGAGUCAAUCAAUCAAAUGUAUUUAUAAAACCCUUCUUACAUCAGCUGAUGUCACAAAGUGCUGUACCGAAACCCAGCCUAAAACCCCAAACAGAACAUGGC